rnacentral:snRNA from 1 species
AUCCUUCUUCGAGGAUCGUUUUA